rnacentral:rRNA from 1 species
GAUGAACGCUGGCGGCGUGCCUAAUACAUGCAAGUCGAGCGAACAGACGAGGAGCUUGCUCCUCUGACGUUAGCGGCGGACGGGUGAGUAACACGUGGAUAACCUACCUAUAAGACUGGGAUAACUUCGGGAAACCGGAGCUAAUACCGGAUAAUAUAUUGAACCGCAUGGUUCAAUAGUGAAAGACGGUUUUGCUGUCACUUAUAGAUGGAUCCGCGCCGCAUUAGCUAGUUGGUAAGGUAACGGCUUACCAAGGCAACGAUGCGUAGCCGACCUGAGAGGGUGAUCGGCCACACUGGAACUGAGACAAGGUCCAGACUCCUACGGGAGGCAGCAGUAGGGAAUCUUCCGCAAUGGGCGAAAGCCUGACGGAGCAACGCCGCGUGAGUGAUGCAGGUCUUCGGAUCGUAAAACUCUGUUAUUAGGGAAGAACAAAUGUGUAAGUAACUAUGCACGUCUUGACGGUACCUAAUCAGAAAGCCACGGCUAACUACGUG